CUCUCAUCACUCCUUCAGAGGAGCAGCAGCAGCAGCAGCCGCUGCAGCAGAACAACCUGACCACGACUUGCUUACCAGCUCGGCUCAGCACGUCCCCUACUAGACCUGCUGUUCGUCAGAGCCCAUUCAACUCCACAGACACACAGUCAGACCUCACACCUCGAGCAGUGACAACCUGCACUGAAGUGCUUGCUGUGGCGCAAUCUCUAGUCCCCACGUGACAUCAGGCAAAUACCGUAUGCUGGAGAACGGUUAUGCUAGGCUGCAGUCGUACUAAAGAAGGCCUGAGGACUGCGGAGAGAGCGCAAUGGGUAAAACCUCGCCUCGCAAGCACAAGGACCUGAGUUCAGAUCCCCAACACCCAUGUGACGCUAGAAACAAUGGUGUGGAUCUGUAGCCCCAGUCCUGAGGUCCUGAGGGGUGGGCACAGGAGGACCUGAGGGGUUCACUGGCUGACCAACCUAGCUGAAAUGGCAAGCUCUAGGUUCAGAGAGAGACCCUAUCUCAAAUAAAUAAAUAAAUAAAUAAAUAAAUAAAUAAAUAAA
rnacentral:lncRNA from 1 species